CCCUUAGAUGUUCUGGGCCGCACGCGCGCUACACUGAUGCAUUCAACGAGUCUAAAACCUGCUCUGAUAGGGGUGGGUAAUCUUUUGAAUGUGCAUCGUGAUUGGGAUAGAUGAUUGCAAUUUUUCAUCUUUAACGAGGAAUGCCUAGUAAACGCAAGUCAUCAGCUUGCAUUGAUUACGUCCCUGCCCUUUGUACACACCGCCCGUCGCUCCUACCGAUUGAAUGAUCCGAUGAAUAUCAUGGAUUGAGGAUUAUAGCAGGUUCGCCUGUCUUGAUCUUCGAGAAGUGAAGUAAAUCUUAUCAUUUAGAGGAAGGAGAAGUCGUAACA
rnacentral:rRNA from 1 species